AGAGCCGCUGCGAUUGGAACAGAGCCCGGCCACCCUGUUCCACCACUGUCCACUCCGUAGCUCCCAGCCUGCCGCCGCGCGGUGCCCGAACACGAGAGGGCACCUCCUCCCAGAUCCGGGGCGCAGAAGCCCCGCGGAGGCAGGUAGAAGAUUCUGAGGCCCUGGGCGGGAACUAGUAAGCCACAAUCUGGAAGAGUCUUUUACCACCAUGUGGAGGAGAACUAGAGCACUCAUGUUGAACUAUUACCGAGAAAAGUAAUCAACUUCUUUUGUGUUAAGUCACUGAAAGUAAAAUUUCUAGCUGGACAUAUGGCUCCCCAGAAUGAAGUCUGUGCUCCCUAGCAUCCCUUCAGCAUCUUUGGUGCUACCGGAUAAAUUCUGAGCAAUGGACAUAUAAAGAAGUGUUGUGUGGUUGCAUCUGGGAAGUUCCUUUAUGCUUUGUCCUUUAUUUUUCACCCUCCUCUUCAUGAUGGCUGAACAUUUGUACAAUGGCCAGACCUGGAGAAACCAUCUUGGGGGGACUUGGGAAUGGAGGUCCAGCCUUGGGGAGCAACAAAGUCAGAGGAUCCUAAAUUUCAUGAAGGAGGAUCCUGGAACUUGGGCUUAUAGACUUUUAAAUGAGAGAAGAUAAAAAAAAGAAAGGCCUAUUUCAUUUAAGAAAUGAAUAGUUUUUAUUUUUCUAUUACUUCUAGUCAAAUCUAAUUCCAUUUCCUAUUUGGCUGUGACAGCAGAUCCUUGUGCAGUGACUGACACAUAGUGGGUGUUCAAUAGAUGUUUGAAGCAAUCUGGGAGGUAUCCCUGAUACCUUCUCCUUCCCCAUAUCCAACUCAGCAUUGAUGUCUAUCAGUUUUACCUUCUGACAUCUCUCAAAUCUGUGCACUUGUCUUAAUCUCCCUCCACCCAUGUGAGCUGAAGCUUCUCUAGACCUUGUGUUGCCUAGGCUACUCAAAAGCCUUCUAAAUGGUCUCAUCACAUCACAUCCUUUUCCACUAAAAACUUGAUUUUUGUUUUUUUUAGGAGCCAAAUCCUUGACAUAGGCUAUGGGUCUUAUUUCUCAUCAUUUUUAGUCUUACCAUAUGAGCUCCCCAUUUCCUUCCCACCUCUUCUGAAUUCACUUCUAGGAAUCCUCAGGCCUCCCCUUAGCACUUCCUCAGGAAAGACUUCCUCCUGCAGAAAAUCUCUCACUAUCUUCUUAUAGCACUGCACAUUUCUGUAUGUGUCAUAGCCUGUCUCUCCCAGUAAACUGUAAGCCCCAAAGAGGCAGUCAUUAUGGAUGUUUUACAUACUUUUAUAUCCUUAGUGUCUAGUAUGGUGUCUGAUACAUAUUAGAUGCUUAAUAAACAUUUGCUGAAUGAAUAAAUGGUAUUGCAAAUGCCAUUGUUGGGAUUUGGAAAAUCGGUGGGCAGUGACUGGGUUUUAAAAGACAGAAAGAGAGGAGGAAAGAGAGAAAGGGAGGAGAGAGAGAGAGAGUGAGAACUCUUAUGUUUACCUUAUAAAAUAGCCAUUUAGCUCAUUAGCUUAGUCAAAUUCUAAAUAAUCUUAACUCCUAAGAUUGGAUGGACUAAAGUUUGAAGCCUACUGUCUUCCCAUCACUGUCCUGAGCCUGACAUCUAAUAAUUAGAUCAGCAGUCAUCAAAGUGAUUACAAGACCAUUUCUGGGGGUCCAUGAGAUCCUGCCUUUCCAAGCUGGAUAUGGUCAUAUUUUCUUCACAUACUUCAACUCAAACAACAUACUACAGCAGAUUGAAUGCAGAAGCAGUUACGGGACUCCAGCUGUACUAUUAAACUAAACGCUAUGGUUUGAAUGCUCACUCCAAAAAUCAUGUUGAAAUUUAAUUGGAUAAAUUAAUUGGGACAUGGGGCCUUUAAGUAGUAGAUUAAUACCCUUAUUGCAGGAGUUGGAUAUUUAUCUCAGGAGUGGGCUCCUGGUAAAAGGAUGAAGUUUGGUUUCCAUUUUUCUCUCUGCCUCACGUGCUUCCUUGUCCUUCGGUCAUGUUACGAUGUAGCAAGAAGGCCCUACAGAUACAGCCCCUUGAUCCUGGACUUCCCAGCCUCUAGAACUAUGAGCGAAAUAAAUUUAUUUUCUUUUAAAGUUACCCAGUCUGUGAUGUUCUAUUAGCAAGAAAUGACAUUUAAACCUUUUGCAAAAAUGUAAAAUAAUGCCUUUUGUUCACUAAAUAGUUUCUUAUUUUGGAAAAUAUAGUUGUUUUUUAAAAAACAUGUUCUUUACAUUAACACAUAAGGAUUUAUCAUUGCU
ensembl:lncRNA THRB-AS1 THRB antisense RNA 1